UACGAAGGGGGCUAGCGUUGCUCGGAAUCACUGGGCGUAAAGCGCACGUAGGCGGAUUUCUAAGUCAGGGGUGAAAUCCUGGAGCUCAACUCCAGAACUGCCUUUGAUACUGGGAAUCUCGAGUCCGGGAGAGGUGAGUGGAACUGCGAGUGUAGAGGUGAAAUUCGUAGAUAUUCGCAAGAACACCAGUGGCGAAGGCGGCUCACUGGACUGGUACUGACGCUGAGGCGCGAAAGCGUGGGGAGCAAACGGG
rnacentral:rRNA from 1 species